rnacentral:rRNA from 1 species
CGAACGGGUGAGUAAUAUAUCGGAACGUACCCUAGAGUGGGGGAUAACGUAGCGAAAGUUACGCUAAUACCGCAUACGAUCUACGGAUGAAAGUGGGGGAUCGCAAGACCUCAUGCUCAUGGAGCGGCCGAUAUCUGAUUAGCUAGUUGGUGAGGUAAAAGCUCACCAAGGCUUCGAUCAGUAGCUGGUCUGAGAGGACGACCAGCCACACUGGAACUGAGACACGGUCCAGACUCCUACGGGAGGCAGCAGUGGGGAAUUUUGGACAAUGGGCGCAAGCCUGAUCCAGCAAUGCCGCGUGAGUGAAGAAGGCCUUCGGGUUGUAAAGCUCUUUUGUCAGGGAAGAAACGGAUUCUUCUAAUACAGAGAUCUAAUGACGGUACCUGAAGAAUAAGCACCGGCUAACUACGUGCCAGCAGCCGCGGUAAUACGUAGGGUGCAAGCGUUAAUCGGAAUUACUGGGCGUAAAGCGUGCGCAGGCGGUUGUGCAAGACAGAUGUGAAAUCCCCGGGCUCAACCUGGGAAUUGCAUUUGUGACUGCACGGCUAGAGUGUGUCAGAGGGGGGUAGAAUUCCACGUGUAGCAGUGAAAUGCGUAGAGAUGUGGAGGAAUACCGAUGGCGAAGGCAGCCCCCUGGGAUAACACUGACGCUCAUGCACGAAAGCGUGGGGAGCAAACAGGAUUAGAUACCCUGGCAGUCCACGCCCUAAACGAUGUCUACUAGUUGUCGGGUCUUAAUUGACUUGGAAACGCAGCUAACGCGUGAAGUAGACCGCCUGGGGAGUACGGUCGCAAGAUUAAAACUCAAAGGAAUUGACGGGGACCCGCACAAGCGGUGGAUGAUGUGGAUUAAUUCGAUGCAACGCGAAAAACCUUACCUACCCUUGACAUGUCUGGAAUCCCUGAGAGAUUAGGGAGUGCUCGAAAGAGAAUCAGAACACAGGUGCUGCAUGGCUGUCGUCAGCUCGUGUCGUGAGAUGUUGGGUUAAGUCCCGCAACGAGCGCAACCCUUGUCAUUAGUUGCUACGAAAGGGCACUCUAAUGAGACUGCCGGUGACAAACCGGAGGAAGGUGGGGAUGACGUCAAGUCCUCAUGGCCCUUAUGGGUAGGGCUUCACACGUCAUACAAUGGUACAUACAGAGGGCCGCCAACCCGCGAGGGGGAGCUAAUCCCAGAAAGUGUAUCGUAGUCCGGAUUGGAGUCUGCAACUCGACUCCAUGAAGUUGGAAUCGCUAGUAAUCGCGGAUCAGCAUGUCGCGGUGAAUACGUUCCCGGGUCUUGUACACACCGCCCGUCACACCAUGGGAGCGGGUUUCACCAGAAGUGGGUAGCCUAACCGCAAGGAGGGCGCUCACCACGGUGGGAUUCGUGACUGGGGUGAAGUCGUAACAAGGUAGCCGUAUCGGAAGGUGCGGCUG